UUGAAGGCACCAUGGUUGAGAAACACUGACAUAUAUAUGGAGAGAUAGAGAUGAGAGAGAGAGAGAGGGAAGUGAGCCCGGACAGGCUUCAGAUGACAUCACGCCCGCCGGGCCACUCCCCGUUCCACCCUCGCACACAGCAGAAGGACUGAACAGCCAUUGUGAGGGGGAAAAAGCCAGGUGCAGUUCAGCACAAUAAAAGGUUGAAGAUAUAAAAGCAACAGCCUCAGCUAUAAGAACAACUGCUGAGAAGAAUAUUUCUCAAGAACCUACUUUUAAAGAGUGGGACUAGCUGUAAUUCAGUGUGGAUUUGCCAACAGCUUCCGUAGUCUGCAAAUGAGGGGAGCCAAAGGAAGCCAAUAUGUUCAACA